rnacentral:tRNA from 1 species
ACCAGUGUAGUAUAGUGGUUUGAAUGUUGGACUACAACUCUGGAAAUCAGGGUUCAAAUCCCCACUUGGC